rnacentral:rRNA from 1 species
CCUACGGGAGGCAGCAGUGAGGAAUAUUGCACAAUGGGGGAAACCCUGAUGCAGCGACGCCGCGUGGGCGAAGAAGUAUUUCGGUAUGUAAAGCCCCAUCAGCAGGGAAGAAGAAAUGACGGUACCUGCGUAAGAAGCACCGGCUAAAUACGUGCCAGCAGCCGCGGUAAUACGUAUGGUGCAGGCGUUAUCCGGAUUUACUGGGUGUAAAGGGAGCGUAGGCGGCACGGCAAGCCUGAUGUGAAAGCCCGCGGCCCAACCGCGGGACGGCAUUGGAAACUAGCGGGCUGGAGUGCCGGAGAGGUAUGCGGAAUUCGUGGUGUAGCGGUGAAAUGCGUAGAUAUUAGGAGGAACACCAGUGGCGAAGGCGGCCUACUGGACGGUGACUGACGCUGAGGCUCGAAAGCGUGGGUAGCAAACAGGAUUAGAUACCCUAGUAGUC